CCCACUAAGAGUCACCUUAUCAACAUAAACUCAGAUUGUCCUUAAAAUAAACAGCAAAUAGCAACAAUCUGGAAGUGAAACAACCUAUGGUUUUAUUCAUAAACAUUUUUCAGUUGUUAUCAAAGACAAAGCAUUAAGGAGACUUUUGUUUUUCCUCAAGCACAACCAAGAACCACACUGAGUUAAAGAAAAGUUGCACUGGACAGGUUAAACUGACAAGAAAGACUAUUGCAAUAAGAAUCAAGACUACUACAAUUGGUUAGAGAUUGGACUCUAGUCCUCGAACACAAAAGCAAAAGAGUUUUGAAGCACUGGAGUGAACUAGCAGAAUUGUACUGGAGGAUGAAGACUUUAAGGGGAAAAUUUGUCAAUGUGAUUACGCUAUUGGUUUUUGCUAAUUGAUGAUUAUAAAAGUUAGGCCCCUACCCUUCCACAGAGACUAGGAGGCAGGCGCCCUAGCUUUCUAGAUGGUUCUGCUUCAAAGGGAAUACUCUCAGGUCCUUGAGAAAGACAUUACUGGGAGUAAAAUUGUCAAGAAACUGGAAGACGAUUUACAUCUCAAAGCGGCAGAGAAGAAACUUACAAUUGCAAGUUUUUCAACAUAAAUGCUCUAAGAAAAGUUAUAUCAGGGGCCAAUCAGAAGACCGUCUAAGGUUUAGUCAAACUGAAGUUAAGGGUGUCUUGGUCACUACAUCUAAGCACAUCAGAUAAUUAGAUCCCCCCUUUUUUUCUGAACACAUCUUUUCUGAAACUCUCUCUUCCCCUCUUUAAUCUGGACUAGUUGCUCUCUAGGCCUGAUGCACAGCUGUCAGCCUGGGACUUUCUUUGUUUCUCUUCCCUUAUCUGGAGACACUAAUUUAGCAGAAUACAUAGAUUUAGAAGAAUACAUUCUUCAUUAACAC